rnacentral:rRNA from 1 species
UGCAAGUCGAACGAACUCUGGUAUUGAUUGGUGCUUGCAUCAUGAUUUACAUUUGAGUGAGUGGCGAACUGGUGAGUAACACGUGGGAAACCUGCCCAGAAGCGGGGGAUAACACCUGGAAACAGAUGCUAAUACCGCAUAACAACUUGGACCGCAUGGUCCGAGCUUGAAAGAUGGCUUCGGCUAUCACUUUUGGAUGGUCCCGCGGCGUAUUAGCUAGAUGGUGGGGUAACGGCUCACCAUGGCAAUGAUACGUAGCCGACCUGAGAGGGUAAUCGGCCACAUUGGGACUGAGACACGGCCCAAACUCCUACGGGAGGCAGCAGUAGGGAAUCUUCCACAAUGGACGAAAGUCUGAUGGAGCAACGCCGCGUGAGUGAAGAAGGGUUUCGGCUCGUAAAACUCUGUUGUUAAAGAAGAACAUAUCUGAGAGUAACUGUUCAGGUAUUGACGGUAUUUAACCAGAAAGCCACGGCUAACUACGUGCCAGCAGCCGCGGUAAUACGUAGGUGGCAAGCGUUGUCCGGAUUUAUUGGGCGUAAAGCGAGCGCAGGCGGUUUUUUAAGUCUGAUGUGAAAGCCUUCGGCUCAACCGAAGAAGUGCAUCGGAAACUGGGAAACUUGAGUGCAGAAGAGGACAGUGGAACUCCAUGUGUAGCGGUGAAAUGCGUAGAUAUAUGGAAGAACACCAGUGGCGAAGGCGGCUGUCUGGUCUGUAACUGACGCUGAGGCUCGAAAGUAUGGGUAGCAAACAGGAUUAGAUACCCUGGUAGUCCAUACCGUAAACGAUGAAUGCUAAGUGUUGGAGGGUUUCCGCCCUUCAGUGCUGCAGCUAACGCAUUAAGCAUUCCGCCUGGGGAGUACGGCCGCAAGGCUGAAACUCAAAGGAAUUGACGGGGGCCCGCACAAGCGGUGGAGCAUGUGGUUUAAUUCGAAGCUACGCGAAGAACCUUACCAGGUCUUGACAUACUAUGCAAAUCUAAGAGAUUAGACGUUCCCUUCGGGGACAUGGAUACAGGUGGUGCAUGGUUGUCGUCAGCUCGUGUCGUGAGAUGUUGGGUUAAGUCCCGCAACGAGCGCAACCCUUAUUAUCAGUUGCCAGCAUUAAGUUGGGCACUCUGGUGAGACUGCCGGUGACAAACCGGAGGAAGGUGGGGAUGACGUCAAAUCAUCAUGCCCCUUAUGACCUGGGCUACACACGUGCUACAAUGGAUGGUACAACGAGUUGCGAACUCGCGAGAGUAAGCUAAUCUCUUAAAGCCAUUCUCAGUUCGGAUUGUAGGCUGCAACUCGCCUACAUGAAGUCGGAAUCGCUAGUAAUCGCGGAUCAGCAUGCCGCGGUGAAUACGUUCCCGGGCCUUGUACACACCGCCCGUCACACCAUGAGAGUUUGUAACACCCAACAGUCGGUGGGGUAACCUUUUAGGAACCAGCCGCCU